rnacentral:rRNA from 1 species
UGUUGCUAUCUUAGUGGCGGACGGGUGAGUAACGCGUGGGUAACCUGCCUUACACUGGGGGAUAACACUUAGAAAUAGGUGCUAAUACCGCAUAACAGGAGAAGACGCAUGUCUUUUCCUUAAAAACUCCGGUGGUGUAAGAUGGACCCGCGUCUGAUUAGCUUGUUGGCGGGGUAACGGCCCACCAAGGCAACGAUCAGUAGCCGGCCUGAGAGGGUGAACGGCCACAUUGGGACUGAGACACGGCCCAAACUCCUACGGGAGGCAGCAG